UACGAACAGUUCGCUGCUAGCUACAAUGAUGAAUAACUACUGACUACAUUAAGCUAAAUUUUUCUCAUCUGGCUGUUACCUGGUUGCAUAGACUCUGUUGAGGAUAACGCGAAAUUAAACCGUUUUUGCAACUCUUAACAAAGACAGCCCUAUAUAGCGUUUGAGUUAGCUAGUUAAUCCUUAAGUUACACAGACACACAAUACUGUGACUUUAACGGACAACGGUGAUUCGGCGUGCUAGCUAGAAAGAAAAAAAAAAUCCUCAACAUCCUUAACGUAACAUUCACUGAUGUUAACGUCCAUAUUUUUAUGUCUCGCUGUCGUUUUCGGGUCUCGCCGGCGUUAUUAAUUGCUGGGUUUCUAUCUACCAAGAUGUAUGGGAUGUCGGGAUGACAGGAAGAUGGCAAACGGGGUUGGAAAACACAAGCUGCUUGUCAUUGGACCAACAGAGCCAUGGUCAGUGAGGGAGAAGCUGUGUUUGGCCACAUCUGUCAUGAAGAGUGGAGACCAGAACUGGGUAUCUGUCAGUCGAGCCAUCAAACCAUUUGCAGAACCUGGGCGUCCACCUGACUGGUUUUCUCAAAAGCACUGUGCCUCCAAGUACUCUGAGCUCCUGGAAACAACAGAGGCCCCAAAGAGGAAGCGUGGUGAGAAAGGUGAAGUGGUGGAGACAGUGGAGGAUGUGAUAGUACGCAGGCUGACAGCCGAGAGGAUUGAUGAACUAAAAAAGUUAAUCAAAGAAACACAGGAGAAGCACAGGAAGCUGAGGAGAGAGGCUGAACUGAUUCAAACUGGACAUCUAGAUUCCAAACUAGAACAUUUAUGGGAAGGAAUUCUGCAGAAGAAGAAACUGGAGGAGGAGGAAGCAGAGUUAAAAAGAAAAAACACAGAUGCUUCUUAUCAGGCCAGACAGGUGGCAAAGAGCACGCCUAAGCGAGUGCCCGGUGUCACCAUGCAUUCGCCCUCAGGGUGCAACUCCCCAAACCAGGAGUACUCACCAGGUGACCCACUCGAGAGCUUAACUCUGGAUCUUGCAUCCGCAAAGAAUGCUUCGGGAUCAGCCAAGUUAAUGACAUUUGCUGAGUCUUCUGGCCUUGGUAGUGAUGACAUCAGCCACGGGUCACUUCUGGAUGACCCCACCCAAAAGAAACUCCUGGGCCAGAAAGCUACACCACCACCAUCUCCACUCCUGUCAGAGUUACUGAAGAAAGGCAGUAUCUUGGCCUCAAAUUCAAGACUGAUUGGGGAGGGUGACGUGUCCACUGGUAAUAUGACAGGAGCACAUGACUUGCAGCUGGCUCCACCUACUCAACCUCUCUCUCAGGCAACAGGUGCCCCGAUGUUGUCUCGUCUCCUGGAGGCGGGUCCCACCCAGUUUUCUGCCCCAUUAGGUUUCAUGGUCAGUGCAGACUCAGCCUCCAGUGCCCCUCUCUCUACUGCCACUCCUCUUCCUGUUGACUCUACUGCCUCAGCAAGCACAGAGAAUAAGGUGUCAGGGCUCAGUGAGGAGGAUGUGACUGUGUCUUACAUGGGAGAUGAGCUGGACCUGAAGACGGUGGGGGACAUUAUCGCCAUCAUUGAAGACAAGGCAGAUGAGGCAGCAGAGGCUUUGGAUGCAGCUGCAGUUGAGGCUGCUCUGUCCCUGUGUGAGGAGAAUGGCCAUGCUCUGUCUGGUGCCUGGGAGGCAGGGCCUUUCCAGCCCCACGAGUCUCACCCCACAGUGUCCACAGGGAUCCCACAGUCCUCAUCUCUUCACUGUAGCCUGGAGGGGAAGACAGAAGUGUUACAAGUUCAGAAUGAGACUUCUGCUUCACUCUCCUCUCUGUGCAACAGUCAAGAUAACUGUCUUGCAGCAUUCCCCAUGGGACUAAGGAGUGUUCCUCCCACCUCCUCAUCCUCAUGCAAUCUGAAGAGUGUGGAGCACUGCCACACUGGAGCACCUCCACGGCCUCAGGCAAUGAGAAAGACUGGAGAGGUGGUGCACCCAAAGAGCCAAAUUUCAUUGGAUGUUAGCAUAAAAUGUGAGAGUGAGAAGUGGGCACAGCAAAGACCAAUUAAAUCCCAUGCAGACUCUGUAUUAGAAGAUAGCCCACUGACAGAAAGGCAUCCCAAGGGGAUGAAGGCAGAGAAUGGAAUAAGGGUUGGGCGAGGAGAGAAUGCCUCAGGGACUAAAGUGGACAAUGAGGUCAACGGGCCAGAAGCGUGUGGAGAAGAGGAGGGUGAUGGAGUGGAGGGAUUCUUGUCAGAGCCCGACGGCGAGAUGGAGCUAGAACCUGCGGCCAGUGAGAGUGAGGAUGGAUACAGCCUCCACACGGCUUCCUCAUCUCUGCAACUCCACACAACCGCAGACUCCAUCCCCAGCAGUCCUGCCUCAUCGCAGUUUUCUGUGUGCAGCGAGGACCUGGAAGCACUACAGGCUCACAAGAUCUGGAAGAAAGCCAUUAUGCUGGUGUGGCGUGCAGCGGCCAAUCACAGGUAUGCAAAUGUCUUCCUGCAGCCAGUAACAGAUGAAAUUGCACCUGGAUAUCACAGUAUUGUGCACAGGCCCAUGGACCUGGCCACUAUAAAGAAGAACAUUGAGACCGGUUUGAUACGGACCACCGCUGAGUUCCAGAGGGACAUCAUGCUGAUGUUUCAGAACGCUGUCAUGUACAACAGCCUGGAUCAUGAUGUGUACCACAUGGCUCUGGAGAUGCAGCGUGACGUCCUGGAGCAGAUCCAGCAGUUUCUAGCUACCCAGCUCAUCAUGGAGACUUCAGAGUCUGGUAUCAGCGCCAAGAGUCUGAGGGGCCGUGAGAGCACACGCAAACAGGACUCUACUGACAAGGUGCUUCACUAGAAUUUUGACAAAAGCAGAGUACAGAAGAAGAGACAAGGGACACUGUCUCCAUGUCUUCUCCUGCCUUCCUCCUUUCUCUUUUUGAUGGAGGCACCAGAGGGCGCCGUUGUGCCAUAGAAGCUGACCUCAAGAUGAAGAAAUGAACAUGCAGGAUGAAAAUAUUUCCAACAGUGUUCCUGAGUUGAAGUGAAAGUUGUGAUACCACAAGACUGAACUUAUUCUCUUUCUGUCAGUUGCACAGAUUCUCACUCUGCAUAAUGUGCAGUGUAACCUUUAUUUGCACUCUAGAUAAAAUGGUAGACUGUAAUGUGGAGAGGCUCAUUUCUUCUGAGACAGCCAUACAGACAUGGAUUACAUACUGUAUAAUCCCAGAUUACAAUGGGACAUUCAGAAAGACUAGGUCAAACCUUCCAUAGACGUAGCUGCAGAUCACUAAGACUUAGCCUGCUCUGAAUUUCAUCAGGUUAUAGAAAUGAAGAUAAAAGUUGUUCCUAGCCUAUAAAUGGGCUGAAAUUAAGACUACAGGGGGCCUGGUUGAACUCCAGAUUAGUGUGUUUGAUUUUGAUCAUAUGUAAAACCAGAGGCCAAAGACUGAUUAAUCUAAUUUCUGAUUGUCUGAGUGAUCAGGGGGCCACAUACUAAUUUCAACAUUUACAUUGCUGGUAUUAACUCAUUUGAGUUUUGUUUUUGUUUUUUCAGUUUUUCAAUUUUAAAAUGUUUGUGAUGAAUUGAUUUUUAUCUAAGGUACACUUCCUGUGAAACAGUACCUCCCUACAUACUCUCUUUUCAGUGUUUUUGAAAAAAAUGUCAUGUUAAAAUUCUGUUUUGUGGACUUUAAAAUGUUAGAACAAUAAAACUAUAAAGAGCCCCAAACCUAUUAUGUUAAGCUUGAAUUUGCACAAAUUUUUCCACAGUGCCAAGCCAAAACACACCAGUAACUUGCAACCUAACUGAUGUUUUAAGAGCUGAUUUUCUUUGUGCAAACAUAAGUGAAACAACGCUUGUAAUCUUCCUUUGGGGAAUUUAAAUAGUUUGCAUUUUAUAUUCUUCUUUUAGUAUAAAAGUCUGCUUUGCCUAAUUUUUGACACUGGUGUUUAAUCCACUGUUUAUCAAUGGGGAAUCUUACACAUUUUCUCAGGAUUGGGUUUAGGAAUCUGGUUAAACUGCAGUGGCCACAUUGCAUGAAUUUUCUAAGAGCUACAACAUUAUUAGCAUUACAAGAGAAGCAAGUUACCACAUUUGUGCUUCAUAUAAUUUCUCUAAGCAGUUGUUGCACAGUGCUGUCAAUACAAACAAGGGACACAGCAUCUUUAACAAAGCUGCCACUCUAGUGUAGGACCAUUAAUUGAGGAUUUUGCAAACUGGAUUUUCUUUACUUGUGUUCAGUGUUAUUUAAAUUGGCCUGAUCAAUAAAACCUAUUCAUAGCUUU